CGGCAACAGCUCAAAUUUGAAAGCUGGUCCUUUCAGGGCCCGCGUUGUAAUUUGUAGAGGAUGAUUCGGCGAGGGCUCCCGCCUAAGUCCCCUGGAACGGGGCGUCAUAGAGGGUGAGAAUCCCGUAUGCGGUGGGCUGCCUUAGCCAUGUGAAUCUCCUUCGACGAGUCGAGUUGUUUGGGAAUGCAGCUCUAAAUGGGAGGUAAAUUUCUUCUAAAGCUAAAUACCGGCCAGAGACCGAUAGCGCACAAGUAGAGUGAUCGAAAGAUGAAAAGCACUUUGGAAAGAGAGUUAAAAAGUACGUGAAAUUGUUGAAAGGGAAGCGCUUGCAACCAGACUUGUCCGCAGUUGCUCAGCCGGUCUCCUGACCGGCGUACUCUUCUGCGGCCAGGCCAGCAUCAGUUCGGGCGGUCGGAUAAAGGCCUCGGGAAUGUGGCUCCCUUCGGGGAGUGUUAUAGCCCGGGGCGUAAUGCGGCCAGCCUGGACUGAGGAACUCGCUUCGGCUAGGAUGCUGGCGUAAUGGUUGUAAGCGGCCCGUCUUGAAACACGGACCAAGGAGUCUAACAUCUAUGCGAGUGUUUGGGUGUCAAACCCAUACGCGUAAUGAAAGUGAACGGAGGUGGGAACCCUCACGGGUGCAC
rnacentral:rRNA from 2 species